AGCAGUGGUAGCCGAGUGGUCAAGAACUUGCCUUCGAAGCAAAAGGUACCAGAUUCGAUUCCUGGCUAUGUUC